GGGUGAUCCGACUGAGACAUCUGUCACCCCAUUGAUCGCCAGGGCUGAUCUGACUGACCUGGCUGGCUAGGCAGGUGUCCCCCUGUUUCAUGUGCGUCCCUCCCUAAGCUGCACGCUUGGUGGAAGAAGACUAUCCCAGGUAGACAGAGUGUACCAUUCUUUGAUAAAGGCUUGAUGAUAGCUGCGCUCCCUGUAUAGAUAGAACCUCCCUGAUAGAAUCUCCCCCUCUAAUGCAGGAAUCUCAGCUAAAUAAUUUCAGCUACAUAGUUUGUGAGA